rnacentral:rRNA from 1 species
GACAGAGGUGCCGAGCGUUAGGCGGAAUCACUGGGCUUAAAGCGUGUGUAGGCGGAUGCCUAAGUACCUUGUGAAAUCCCACGGCUCAACCGUGGAACUGCUUGGUAUACUGGGUGUCUUGAGCUAUCUAGGGGCAACUGGAACAAACGGUGGAGCGGUGAAAUGCGUAGAUAUCGUUUGGAACGCCAAUGGUGAAAACAGGUUGCUGGGGAUAUGCUGACGCUGAGACGCGAAAGCCAGGGGAGCAAACGGG